GAGAAAAGGGAGAAGGUGAGCCUCUUUGAAAGAGUGACUGGGAAGAGAGAUAGCAGGAGAUCUGACAAGCUGAACAAUGGGGGAUCUGAUAGCCCAUGUGACUUGAAAUCACCUAGUGCUUUUAAUGAAAACCGGCAGGACUAUUUUGAAUAUGAGUCAACCAACCCGUUUACAGCAAAAUUCAGGGCUUCAACUAUAAUGCCAUCUUCAAGGAUAGCAAUCCCUUCGAUGCCACGGCUGGGUACCGGAGUCUGACCUACGAAGAGGUGCUGCAGGAGCUGGUGAAGCACAAAGAACUCCUUCGGAGGAAGGACACCCACAUCCGGGAGCUAGAGGACUACAUCGACAACCUCCUUGUCAGGGUGAUGGAAGAGACACCCAGCAUCCUGCGAGUGCCCUAUGAGCCAUCCAGGAAAGCUGGCAAGUUUA
rnacentral:lncRNA from 1 species